UCAAGCCGAAACCAAAUCAAGGAAUCCCAUGUCAACAGACCCUAGCGCAGCUGCAGCCAUCGCGAUGGAGGCGGAAUCCUCCGCCGCGGUGCACCUCCUCCUUGGCCCUCCCGUGAUCCGCGACGCUCCCCCCUUCGGCAGACGCCGCCGCUGACGGCGCACCGGCGUCGUACUUGCCUGCACUCCACCGGUUUUCUUUCCUCCUCCACUCCACCUACAGGUUUUUUUUCCUUUCGUGAAAGGCGCUGAAACCACGCUCGGAUAUUUCCUCCUCCGUGACUCCGUCGCCUUUCUUCCGCCACCACCGCCGCACCCAUCACCGGCCGCCGCACCCAUCACCGGCCGCCGCCGCCAUCGAUUGGUGCUGCCACGGCGCUGAUGAACUCCCCCUACUCCCCGUCUCCUCCCUCUCUUGCUAUCGCCGCCGUCCAGUACUGUCGCAGCUCUACAUCGUCCCCGUGCGGCUAACCCUAGCCGCCUUGAUGUCGCGCCCGCCUCCAACGCGCUCCGCAGGUGGAUAGCCUCCUUUCGAGGCCGGGCCAUAUGAUCCAUCGCAACCUGCUGCUCACCACGCACGACGACCUGCUCUCCGCCGCCGCCGAGGUCGCCGACGCGCUACUCGGACACGCCCGCAUCCCCGCCCGCCUCGUGCCCCACAGGGCUUGCAUUCUGCACGGACUAUACAGUGUUGGAACUUUAUGAGGAUGACAUAUCUUAUCAUGCGCAUGGUCUAGACUUUAUGGCCUGAGAUCAGGUAUCUAUACUAUUAACAUUGUCAUUUAUGAAAUACAGGUAAAUCAAGUAAGUUUGUAUUAUUAUAUAUAUGUGCGAACCAAUAGUAUUCUCCCUAUUCAUUUUUUUAUUUUUUUUAUUUUCAUGGAAAUUGAUGUACAUCAAGCACGUUAUUGGAUAGAAUAUAUAACCAUGAAGGGCAUAUGGUUUUCCCUUUUAUGACUUUACAUUUGUACUUAUAACUAACUGAAGUAGAGUUCGUAUUUAUAGGAACAAUUCAGGUAUAUGCAGAUGUCUUAGUAACAUAAGUUGUGCUGCCAAAUUAGCAGAGUGCUUACCAGAACUAACCUCGACUAUUAGUGGCUUGUAGUGCCACUGUCACACCGUCCUUAUCUCUCCUUCAGUCGUUGCAGCCAGCAGGACACUGUCGCCGCAGUCAGCAGUACCAUGCCAUCGAACCGUUGGUCGACUCGGGCCCGUCUUCUACUGGCCUCUUGUUUGGCAAGUUCAAAUAUAGAUAAAUAACCCCUUCUUUUGUUAACUGGGUUGGCUUUACAAGUCAAGAUUUAACUAAAAUAUUUUCUCUCACAAGAGCAAGGAAAAUAAAUUAACAAUGACUUUGUUAUCUAAACAUGUAGAAUAAUGAUCUGUCUUUGAGUGUAUUCACUUAUCUAUAAAUAGGUUUCAUGUUUCAUUUUUCAGACACAACACAAGCUACUCCAGUUUAUGGGUAUGUACACCAUUUAGCUUACACAUGAAACGUUCCACCAUGUCUUGGUUGCACAUUAAUUUUACUAGAUUUGACUUUACAUAUUUCUUUCUGGGAUAAUUUUGACUCUACAUAUGAUAUGUUUGCUGAUAAUUCAUUCUUGACGGUGGAAACAAAAUUAAGUUUUAACCAUCCAAGUGUUAUUUUUCAGUUUUGCAUGUUUUGGGACUGCAGAUUAGCAGAAAAUAUAUAUAGGUAGUUUGUUUAUUUCAGGUUUUCAGAUUCAAUAUUUUGGUAAAUAUUAUGUUUAUGGUUAUGGAAAGCCAUCGUUUUCAAAGGAAGAAGUUAAAUAGUGCAGAACAUUAAUUUUUGGGAAGUGAAAAAGACAAGAUUCUGGUGCCCGCAGUUGGAGAGAAAGCAGCAUGAAUUUGGGAACCGGUCCAAUCAUUUUGCUCCAUAUUCCACUACAUAAGUCUGAUAUGUUUGUUGGAGGAGCCAUCGGUGACCCCAUAUUUCCAAAGGGAACUGUCUAAGAUCAUCAUGUGGUUUCCUUGAGUUCAAAACAGAGGUAAAAUGUGGAUAUUACGUAUUGUGAGUUAAGGCAGAAUUCAUGUCCCCUUCUUGUGAAAUUCAUAACUCAUGUUCUAUACUUAUGUUCUCUGGUUUCCAUCACGGUGUAAGAUUGGUUUUUUGAAAAGCAUGUGAUACAUUAUGUGCAUAUUUAAACUCGCUACAUAGACACGUGGAAUUCUUCUCACCUGUUUGAUUGAUAUCUCCUAAAAAGCAUUAAUUUGGCAAUUCAGGCUUCUAUAUAUGCUGAUUCGGUGUAUGUAUGCUUAUUAGUUUUUAAGAAUUGGUACAGUAAAGGGAAGCAGAGGUAGGAUUGACCAUAAUUUUUUUCCAGUCAAGUAAGUGCCACUCCCUAUAUAACAGUUUAGUCUCCACACACCAUCUGUCCAAAUGAGUUCCAAUUCUAUGCACCAGUUCAAAAAGAAUAGUCUAUGCUCUCCAUGGAAAGCAACAAGCUGUUGCUUCCAUAGUAUCAUCUAAACGUGUGUGAUGGUAAGUGAAAAAAAUGCACACGAGAUCAAUUAAUUAAGGGUUUGGUAUGAGCUCCCUGAUUUCCGCUGACUAACUAUGAGUUUUCCUUGUGAUCGUUUAGGGCCUCUGAUUUGAUACUAGGACAUUGGUAUUUCGGACGAACUGUGUCAAAAUCUAACAAUCAGUGAAUUGACAGUGUUUUGGUUUCUCCAAUCAGUGUUUGGCAAUGUGAAACAUUCAAAUAAAUGACCUAGCCUUAAGCUUUUGAGCGUUCUCAAAUUCAUUUGAGGAGUUUUCUUAUGUUGGUAAUUGGGCUAUAUUUAACUUCAACUUAUUUAACUCCAACAUGACUAUUGAACUUCAAAUUAUUUCUACAACUUCAAUAUGUCAUCGAUCUGUACUUGACAUCAUUCUUGCAAAACAUCUUAGAGCUGAUGGCCAAUCUGUUAUCAUAACCAUAUGUAAGACUAACAGUCUCACUGAUUGGGUCCAGAUUUAAGAUAGUCAUAUGUGCAAAUGCUUCCUUUAACAACCUUACUGCCUCGAUAACGAUCAUAGUAUCAGACUUCGCUCCUUCCACUUUAGGUUGGAAAGACGCAAACCAAGAGAGAGUGUGACUGCAGAAAAGCUUACAAAAGUGGAAGAUGGGGCCGACUUUGCCAGCUGCACUGGCUCCUUGGAAGCUCUCAUUUGCGACUAAGGGAUGCAGGACACACCUGACUAAAUCUGUAGGGGUGCCGCGGCAUGGAGAAGUACGUGGAAAAAAUGUGCAGAGUGGCGCCGUUUCUACAAUGAGCUCAUUAAGAUUAGGGGAAAGAUCAGGGUAUUCUGCCAGUGCUGGCCUCUAAGUGGAAAUGAGAUCUCUCGUGGGUUCUCAUCGGUGGUACUCUGUUUGACAUAUACCCCUAACUUCUGUUUCAAGUUCAUAGUUUUGUGAUAUGAAAUGGAGGCUAAUACCGUUCCUGGGGCAACAAAUAUGUACUACAAAUUAGUAGUCCAAUUGACCUAAUGGCAUAUAUGUUCCUUUCCUGAAUA